rnacentral:rRNA from 1 species
AUUGAACGCUGGCGGCAUGCCUUACACAUGCAAGUCGAACGGUAACAGGUCUUCGGAUGCUGACGAGUGGCGAACGGGUGAGUAAUACAUCGGAACGUGCCUAGUAGUGGGGGAUAACUACUCGAAAGAGUGGCUAAUACCGCAUGAGAUCUACGGAUGAAAGCAGGGGAUCGCAAGACCUUGUGCUACUAGAGCGGCCGAUGGCAGAUUAGGUAGUUGGUGGGAUAAAAGCUUACCAAGCCGACGAUCUGUAGCUGUCUGAGAGGACGAUCAGCCACACUGGGAAUGAGACACGGCCCAGACUCCUACGGGAGGCAGCAGUGGGGAAUUUUGGACAAUGGGCGCAAGCCUGAUCCAGCAAUGCCGCGUGCAGGAUGAAGGCCUUCGGGUUGUAAACUGCUUUUGUACGGAACGAAAAGCCCUGGGUUAAUACCCUGGGGUCAUGACGGUACCGUAAGAAUAAGCACCGGCUAACUACGUGCCAGCCGCCGCCGUAAGAC